rnacentral:misc_RNA from 1 species
UCCGUGCCGAAGCUAACGCAUUAAGUGCCCCGCCUGGGGAGUACGGCCGCAAGGCUAAAACUCAAAGGAAUUGACGGGGAGCCGCACAAGCGGUGGAUUAUGUUCUUUAAUUCGAUGAUAACCGAUGAACCUUACCAGGGUUUGACAUCCUUGGAAUUACUAUGAAAGUAGUGAGUGCUUUAUUGAACCAAGUGACAGAUGUUGCAUGGCCGUCGUCAGCUCGUGUCGUGAGAUGUUUGGUUAAGUCCAUCAACGAGCGCAACCCUUGCAAGUAGUUGUAUUUUUCUACUUGGACUGCCCCGGUAACGGGGAGGAAGGUGGGGAUGACGUGGGAGAGUACGUCC